rnacentral:rRNA from 1 species
UUAAGUUAUUAAGGGCGCACGGUGGAUGCCUUGGCACUAGAAGCCGAUGAAGGACGUUACUAACGACGAUAUGCUUUGGGGAGCUGUAAGUAAGCUUUGAUCCAGAGAUUUCCGAAUGGGGAAACCCAGCAUGAGUUAUGUCAUGUUAUCGAUAUGUGAAUACAUAGCAUAUCAGAAGGCACACCCGGAGAACUGAAACAUCUUAGUACCCGGAGGAAGAGAAAGAAAAUUCGAUUCCCUUAGUAGCGGCGAGCGAAACGGGAAGAGCCCAAACCAACAAGCUUGCUUGUUGGGGUUGUAGGACACUCUAUACGGAGUUACAAAGGACGACAUUAGACGAAUCAUCUGGAAAGAUGAAUCAAAGAAGGUAAUAAUCCUGUAGUCGAAAAUGUUGUCUCUCUUGAGUGGAUCCUGAGUACGACGGAGCACGUGAAAUUCCGUCGGAAUCUGGGAGGACCAUCUCCUAAGGCUAAAUACUCUCUAGUGACCGAUAGUGAACCAGUACCGUGAGGGAAAGGUGAAAAGCACCCCGGAAGGGGAGUGAAAUAGAACCUGAAACCGUGUGCUUACAAGUAGUCAGAGCCCGUUAAUGGGUGAUGGCGUGCCUUUUGUAGAAUGAACCGGCGAGUUACGAUUUGAUGCAAGGUUAAGCAGUAAAUGUGGAGCCGUAGCGAAAGCGAGUCUGAAUAGGGCGUUUAGUAUUUGGUCGUAGACCCGAAACCAGGUGAUCUACCCUUGGUCAGGUUGAAGUUCAGGUAACACUGAAUGGAGGACCGAACCGACUUACGUUGAAAAGUGAGCGGAUGAACUGAGGGUAGCGGAGAAAUUCCAAUCGAACCUGGAGAUAGCUGGUUCUCUCCGAAAUAGCUUUAGGGCUAGCCUCAAGUGAUGAUUAUUGGAGGUAGAGCACUGUUUGGACGAGGGGCCCCUCUCGGGUUACCGAAUUCAGACAAACUCCGAAUGCCAAUUAAUUUAACUUGGGAGUCAGAACAUGGGUGAUAAGGUCCGUGUUCGAAAGGGAAACAGCCCAGACCACCAGCUAAGGUCCCAAAAUAUAUGUUAAGUGGAAAAGGAUGUGGCGUUGCCCAGACAACUAGGAUGUUGGCUUAGAAGCAGCCAUCAUUUAAAGAGUGCGUAAUAGCUCACUAGUCGAGUGACACUGCGCCGAAAAUGUACCGGGGCUAAACAUAUUACCGAAGCUGUGGAUUGUCCUUUGGACAAUGGUAGGAGAGCGUUCUAAGGGCGUUGAAGCAUGAUCGUAAGGACAUGUGGAGCGCUUAGAAGUGAGAAUGCCGGUGUGAGUAGCGAAAGACGGGUGAGAAUCCCGUCCACCGAUUGACUAAGGUUUCCAGAGGAAGGCUCGUCCGCUCUGGGUUAGUCGGGUCCUAAGCUGAGGCCGACAGGCGUAGGCGAUGGAUAACAGGUUGAUAUUCCUGUACCACCUAUAAUCGUUUUAAUCGAUGGGGGGACGCAGUAGGAUAGGCGAAGCGUGCGAUUGGAUUGCACGUCUAAGCAGUAAGGCUGAGUAUUAGGCAAAUCCGGUACUCAUUAAGGCUGAGCUGUGAUGGGGAGAAGACAUUGUGUCUUCGAGUCGUUGAUUUCACACUGCCGAGAAAAGCCUCUAGAUAGAAAAUAGGUGCCCGUACCGCAAACCGACACAGGUAGUCAAGAUGAGAAUUCUAAGGUGAGCGAGCGAACUCUCGUUAAGGAACUCGGCAAAAUGACCCCGUAACUUCGGGAGAAGGGGUGCUCUUUAGGGUUAACGCCCAGAAGAGCCGCAGUGAAUAGGCCCAAGCGACUGUUUAUCAAAAACACAGGUCUCUGCUAAACCGUAAGGUGAUGUAUAGGGGCUGACGCCUGCCCGGUGCUGGAAGGUUAAGANGAGUGGUUAGCUUCUGCGAAGCUACGAAUCGAAGCCCCAGUAAACGGCGGCCGUAACUAUAACGGUCCUAAGGUAGCGAAAUUCCUUGUCGGGUAAGUUCCGACCCGCACGAAAGGCGUAACGAUUUGGGCACUGUCUCAACGAGAGACUCGGUGAAAUCAUAGUACCUGUGAAGAUGCAGGUUACCCGCGACAGGACGGAAAGACCCCGUGGAGCUUUACUGUAGCCUGAUAUUGAAAUUCGGCACAGCUUGUACAGGAUAGGUAGGAGCCUUUGAAACGUGAGCGCUAGCUUACGUGGAGGCGCUGGUGGGAUACUACCCUAGCUGUGUUGGCUUUCUAACCCGCACCACUUAUCGUGGUGGGAGACAGUGUCAGGCGGGCAGUUUGACUGGGGCGGUCGCCUCCUAAAAGGUAACGGAGGCGCUCAAAGGUUCCCUCAGAAUGGUUGGAAAUCAUUCAUAGAGUGUAAAGGCAUAAGGGAGCUUGACUGCGAGACCUACAAGUCGAGCAGGGUCGAAAGACGGACUUAGUGAUCCGGUGGUUCCGCAUGGAAGGGCCAUCGCUCAACGGAUAAAAGCUACCCCGGGGAUAACAGGCUUAUCUCCCCCAAGAGUUCACAUCGACGGGGAGGUUUGGCACCUCGAUGUCGGCUCAUCGCAUCCUGGGGCUGUAGUCGGUCCCAAGGGUUGGGCUGUUCGCCCAUUAAAGCGGUACGCGAGCUGGGUUCAGAACGUCGUGAGACAGUUCGGUCCCUAUCCGUCGUGGGCGUAGGAAAUUUGAGAGGAGCUGUCCUUAGUACGAGAGGACCGGGAUGGACAUACCUCUGGUGUACCAGUUGUCGUGCCAACGGCAUAGCUGGGUAGCUAUGUGUGGACGGGAUAAGUGCUGAAAGCAUCUAAGCAUGAAGCCCCCCUCAAGAUGAGAUUUCCCAACUUCGGUUAUAAGAUCCCUCAAAGAUGAUGAGGUUAAUAGGUUCGAGGUGGAAGCAUGGUGACAUGUGGAGCUGACGAAUACUAAUCGAUCGAAGACUUAAUCAA